rnacentral:piRNA from 1 species
UGACGCGGAUCACCUGCCACU